UCGGGAUUUCCUUCUGGAGAAAACCAGCCAGGCUUGCAGAUUGGUGCCGCCACCAGUUCAUGGCUCCAGCCCGGCCGGAGCCUCGACCCUUUGUGCUCCUGGCCAGUUCUCUCUCUUGUUUCCCAGAAGUUCUCUCUUGCUGCCUCCUGUCUCUCCCAAAUCUUCUCCUACCACCGCACUUACCACGGAUGACAUCACGGCCACUUGGCAGAAAGCGUAUGGGCCAUCCAUAGGGGAUCUCCUCGCCCUGCCAUCGCUAAAUCGACAGCCUGCCUGCCACCUUCCCUCCUCUGCCUGCUUUCACAGAGAAGCCCCAGGCUCCCCCAGGCUCCCUGUAGUGCCAGCUCCAGGUCUUACACAGUCCUUGUGCUCAGGGAACCUCGUGAGCCAGUGUCCUCCCCUUCCUCUUCUGUCCUGGACCUUUACCUCUCCAAGGGGCCCUUCCUUUCCCAUCAACGUUCAACGAGGUUAAGUCUCACCCAUCUUAAAAGUGCCAAGAAUCAGGGGCAUCUGGGUGACUCAGUCGGUUAAGCGUCUGACUCUUGAUUUCAGCUCAGGUCAUGACCUCAUGGUCGGGAGAUCAAGCCUCAUGUCCGGCUCUGCGCUGGACAUGGAGCCUGAUUGAGAUUCUCUCUCUCCUUUUCCCUCUGCCCUUCCCCAGCUUCUGCACACACACACUCUCUCUCUAAAAAAAAAAAAAAAAAAAAAAAAAAAUGCCAAGAACCUUCCUAGACCCCUCCUCCAGUUUUAGCUUUCUAGUCAAGGAGAGCCUCGGAGGAGUUCUCUCCACUUGCUGGGCCACUUCCUCCCCAACUCACCCCCUGCAGCUGGCUGCCACCCCCACGGCCCUGACACCACUUCCCUGUGACCAAAUCCUACACAUCACAGCCUGCAUCUCCUUGCCCACUGCACAGCGGCCAGCACCGCUAACUGUUCCUUGGACGUGCCAUUUUCUUUGCUUCCCUCUUCCUGCCCAUGACCCUCAUCUCUGCCUCACCGCCCGUCUCAGUGCAGGGCACUGCCUCACCUCCUAACUAUGUUUCAAAUCUGAAUGUUCUAUCCAGCCCCACUGCCACCAUCCUGGUCCCCGCCCCAUCACCCCUCCCCGGCGACAACUGUGGCCACCUCCCCUACCCCCACGCUGCUGCCCAGACUGCUUUUGUAUGUUCACUCUGCUUCCUGCUGCUGCAGGUUCUGGGGCCCUACCCCCAGACAGAUUAUGUUAGCCUCCUGCUCAAAGCCCACCCUAGAGAUAGAUCAGUUAGGAUUCCUUUCAGCUGCCUGUGACAGAAAAUCCAAACGAACAGAACCUUAAACACACCGGGUUUUAUUCUCUCCUAUAAAAGUCUGGAGCUGGAGUUUAAGGGCUCGUCUCAUGGUUUCAUGAAGUUGUCAGGGGCCAGGGCCCUCGAGCCGUUCUUUCUUGUCCGAUCCCAAAGUGUGACCCUAAAUCCCAUGACCCAAUUUUCAGCAACCCCAGGCCAUUACAUUUGCUUUCCAAGAAGCAGGAUAGAGGAAUGGCCGCUUUUAUUUUGACUCCUUCCCUGAAAAAUCUUAGGACGCUUCUGUUUCUAUUUUAUUAGCUAGAACUUACAAUGCUGAGGCCAGAGCUAGGUAGCUGCAAGGGAGUCUGAGAUACACAAUCUUAAAUACAGUCUUAGUAAUAAAACGAGGGGUUAUGUUCGUAAGGAAAAAGGGGAGAAUGAAUACUGGAGUAAACAACUAGCUGUUUCUGCUGGAGUCGGCCCUUUGGCCACCCAAAAAUUCAUGUGCUCCCCUCUUCCCAUGUACUGAAUUAUCUCCUCCCCUCCCAGGGGAGACCAUCCCAAAACCUCAUGCGGAUCUGAGCCCAGGAUUAUCAGGCGAUGUGCAGUCCUCUCCGUGGGCUUCAAGUUUAGCUCCACGCGAAAACAAUAAGCUCAAAGACGCCACCCUACACCAGGUGGAAGUCCCCCUUCCACGUGGUAAUUGCAGCGAAGACCUCCAUUCAGAAAAGGGAAGCAUGGGAACACAUCAGGCUCUGGUUUGUAGCAAGCAUCCAGUGCUAAUAGGCCGGAGGAGUAAAGGCCUCCCUCCUGAGCAGUGGAGUUAAAUUCUUGGUUAGCCCCCUCCGGCAGCCCCUUUUCUGUUCACUGGGAAGAAUUCUUUUCGUUCACUGUCUCUGGGCUUUUCCUUCCGGGAGGUUCUUCCUGGUCCAUCACCCCUCAAGCUAUGCUUGAAAUGGGCAUUGGGAGCUUCAGGGGGUUCGUAGUCUACUUCCUGCUGUUCUGGGGCCCAAGCAUUUUACUAGGAAAUAGCUGUUAAAUGACAGGACUUUGUCAAUGCUUGUUGUUCAAUGCAUUUUUUUUUUUUUAAUCUUAGGCUUUUGAACUAUCCGCUUCUGGUUAGUUUCUUAUGCAAAACCCACAGCUAAAGCUCUAGUGUUGCCAUCAUUUUAACACCAUAUGGGAACCAGAGUGGCUUGAGAAGGUGACAUUUACCCAACAUGGGGCUCGAACUCACAACUCCAAGAGAGAAGGCUAAAUUCAAACCUUCCCUGUGCCUAACCACACUGAUGUGUACUUUGGUGUGACGACCUCUAGAGAGAUAUGUACAGAAAUCGCCUCUCAGGGCCUGAGAAACCACCACCCCCUCCCCCAUCAAACACACCUCCACUUGGGACUUGCAAGAUGGAUGAUUAGGACACACACCUGACUUCCUUCCACACCUCCUUCCUCUCUUGCCUCCUCCCCAAUAUUUUCCAAACCUAAGAGCGGGGCUUUCUCCUCGGUUUUCUUCCUGAAGUAAAGCUCUACCAGCAGGCGUACUUCUUGAUAUCUUUUAAAGAGGAAGUUACAGACAUCUAGAAUACCCCAUUUCCUAACAAUGAUGGACUUUCAAGACUACUGUCUGGCUGAAAAAAAAAAUUCUGUCGUGGAUGUCAGAAGCUAAACAUUACUUAUCUUCCCAGCAUUUUUUGUCUUCGAUAAUCCUAACUUCACUUCCAAAGCAAGCAGAUAAUCGCAGUGACCAGGAAGAAGGUCACAUGCACAGAAACACAAAAGAGAAAUGCCAGUUAUUCCAUUUUUCAAAAUAGGAUCCUGCUUACAUCAUUCAAGACUUCCUAUUUGACUUAGGGUAAGUCCAAAAUGUGUAAGACUGUUCUUUGGGGUCUGAGCCUCACGUAUCCCUUAGCCUCAGCUGAUCAAACUCCCAGCCUCACACCAUGCACGGCAAACACACUAGACCUUUCUCAGUCCUCUUAGCACAUUUUGCUCAGGACCUUCCUAAUAGCUUCCGGGUGGUCUGGAAAGCUCUUUGCCUCUCUCUUGAAUUGACCAAAUCUUGUUCAUUUCUCAGGUUUCGAUUUAAAGGUCACUGUCUUCAAGAGGAAUUCCCUGACCCAUGGCAUCCCUCAGAACACCUUGUGCCCUUAUGACUUUUGAAUUAAUUAUUUUAUAUGAUGUAUCAAGUACCUCUGUUUCCCAUGGAAACAUCAGCUGGAGGAGGGCGAGAACGAUGUCUGUCUGUCCUGGCACAUCAUCACAUCAUCCUAAUCUCUAAUCUGGAUUAGAAAGAUGAGUUCCUAAGGGUGCCUGGGUGGCUCUGUCGGCUAAGCGUCUGACUGGAUUUUGGUCACCAUCAGGUCACCAUCUCGCGGUUUGUGAGUUCGAGCCCCACAUGGGGCUCUGCGCUAUCCAUGCGGAGCCUGCUUGGGAUUCUCUCUCCCUUUCUCUCUUCCUCUCCCUCUCUGUCAAAAAAAGAUAAAUUAAAAAAAAAAAAAGAAAGAUGAGUUUCUAAAAUGCAAGUGUGCUUAAAAUUCUUCCUCUUCACACUCAGGUUAAAGUCAAGCCACUCCAUGUAGCCUCCAAGGCCCUGCAUGCUCUGGCCCCAUCUCCCACCUGCCUCCCCUUCAGUGUCCAUCUAGACACUAUGUCUUUCAGUGUAUUAAAGCGGCUGAACCUUUGCCUCCAAGGUUUCAGAUAUGAAAUGAUGAAAUGAUAUGCUUUGCAGAUUUGUAUCCAUCCCUCAGCUCUUAGCUGAGAGCUCUAUUGAUUGGUUGACUGGCUUGUUCAUUCAUCCUGGUUCUAUGUGCCAGGAACUCUCUUAAGUCCUAAGGAAACGGUUGAAUCAGACAGAUGCGGGUCCCCGUCCCCCUGGUCUCUUCCCUGACCACCCAAACCCUGAGGCUCGGUGAUGUGUCUCUUCUACGGCUCCCCUGCCUCUCUGAAAAAUCCACAGUAUUGCCUGAUCACACGUCAUAAUGACGGUUCCCCUGUCUCCCCUGCUAGCUCAUGAGCUAUUCGUUGAACGAAUUUAUGAACCAAGUCCUUUGCUCACAAUAGUUCAAAGAAAUAGGAAAUGCCAUAGAGUGGAUUCGCUGGACCACAAAUACCGUGAGCAGGAGGCACAGGGCACCAUGGGCAAGGGGGUGGGGCCAGAGGCAAAGGCAGCAAGAGAGGUCUCUCCUCCUCCUCCUUCCUCAGGAAGUUACAGAAAGUGUGGUCUGAGAAAUGUGUGUGGAACCGGACACAGAUUCUGUUUAUUCUAUAACCAGAAUAGGUAAACCCAAAGAGGCUGAAUGGUUGGCGGUUGCCAGGGGCGAGGGAGAAAGAGGAAAGGGGAGUGAUAGCUUCGUGGGGUUUUCUUUGGGGAUAAUGCAAAUGUUUCAAAAGUAGGUACAGGUAGUGGUUACACAACAUCGUGAAUGUACUGAAUGCCACUGAACUCUAUACACAUUUAAGAUGAUUAAUGCUGUUCUGUGAAUUUCACCUCAGGAAGGAAGGAAGGAAGGAAGGACAGGCAGACGUGUAGUUGGAGUGAGAGGUGGGUGUGUGGGGGCAGUUUCUCUUCCUCUGCCAGUCCCUGAUGGGGGCACAGUGACGCCUAGGACUCUGGGGCUAGCUGAGUCGGCUCUGAAAGGAGGAAGGGCUUCCCAGAGCCACCUCGUUCUCCUCCAGGUCCAGGUAAGCUUGGGACACCUGGACACUGGCCCCUGUACGCACCUGGGCACUGUGCAAGAGCAUCACAAGCCUCUCAGCUGCAGGGACCAGAUGGCGGCCUUUCCCGGAUGGGGCGGGAAAGGAAUGCUUUGGGACACAUCCGCACCAAGAAUCAGUUCUCAAAAGCAAUGGCGAGUAAGUGUGAAUGUGUUUGUGAGGGCCUGUCUAGCGGAUAGGCAAUGCCGCCAGAGGAAACCGCCCAUAAUUUGGAACCAGAAGGAUUGCUUGUUGGUCCCUGCUCUGCCAACUAAUGGCUACGUAGUCAUAAGUUAGGCACUUUUUAGUUCUGAGUAAAAAUAUUAAAGCCACACGAUUACUGGUAGAGAGACAAAAUGGUACAGCCACUUUGGAAGACAAUUUGACAGUUUCUCACAAAACUAAACCUGCUCUUUAUAAACCUGCAAUGGUGUUCCUAGGUAUUCAUCCAAAAGAGUUGAAAACCCUGCACGCAGAUGUUUAUAGCGGCUUUAUUCAUAAAUGCCAACCAAGACGUCCUUCAGUGGAUGGAUGGGUAAAUGAACCGUGGUCCAUCCGGACACUGGAAUAUUCUUCAGCACUAAAGAAAUGAGCUGCCAAGCCAUGAAAAGAUAUGGAAGAACCUUACAUGCCUAUUACUCUAUGGAAAGAAGCCAAACCACAAAGGCUACAGCACUGUACGAUUCCAACUACGUGACAUUCUGGAAGAGAAAAAACUACAGAGACAAUAAAAAGAUCAGUUGCCAAGGCCCGGACCCUCUCUUCCAUCAACACACACAGCCUUGGUUCACUUCCAUCCAAUGAGGAAAUGCUCACAACACCGCUCGGCACAGGGCCCGGCAGGAAACUCUUUCUCCUCCUUCGGAACUCAACAGAGGUGUCGCUUCAGGCAGUGAGGGGCCCCCACCCUGGCUGCCAUAGUGCUCUGCUCACGCUUCUCAGAAAACUUUCCUAGAGGUUCUGAUGCUGUGGGUUUGUUUGGUGUCUCUAGACCCAGCUCCAAAGGGUGAGUACACAUCUCUUCCUUUUGUCUUUGACUUACUUAAAAUUCCUAAAAAUUGCACAAGUAAUUCAUGAGUGUGUGCAUACUGUAAAAAAAAAAAAAAAAGGCACAAUGCACAAAAAUAUAAGCCCCAAUCCCUCCCCAGAAAAUACCACAGUUAAUAGCUUUGUGAGUAUAAAUCUGUAUAAAUUGAUUUAGUAUCUUCUUACAUAAAUGAGAUUAACCUACGUACAUUGUUCUAUGGCUUGCUUUUGUCAUUUAAUAAUAGAUUGUAUGGCGGCGCCUGGGUGGCUUAGUCCGUUGAGCGUCUGACUUUGGUUCAGGUCGUGAUAUCCCAGUUCGUGAGUUCAAGCCUGGCAUCAGGCUCGCUGCUGUCAGCACAGAGCCAGCUUUGUAUCCUCUGUCCCCCCCCCUCUCUGCUCCUCCCCCUCUAGUGCUCUCUCAAAAAAAAUUUUUUUUAAAUAAUAGAUUGUAUGUGUGGUAGGCAGAAUAAUGCCCCUUCUCCCAAAAAUGUACAUGUUCUAAUCCCCCAAAUCUGUGAAUAUGUGACCUUGUAUGGUAAAAGGCACUUUGCAGAAAAGUCCUGAGGAAAAAAAGGUUAUUUAUGCUGGAUCAUCUGGACGGUCUCAAUGUAAGCAUAAGGAUCUUUGUAAGAGGGAGGUAGGAGGGUCAGAAAAAGACAGAUUUGAAGAUGCUACUCUGUUGGCUUUAAAAUGAAGAAGCAGUGGGGGUGCUGGGUGCUCAGGUGGUUAAGUGUCCAACUCUUGGUUUCGGCUCAGGUCGUGAUGUCACAGUUCAUGAGUUUGAGCUACGCAUUGGGCUCUGAGUUGACAGCGUGGAGCCUGCUUGGGAUUCUCUCUCUCCCUCUCUCUCUCUCUCCCCCUCCUGUGCUCAUUCUCUCUCUCUCUCUCUCUCUCUCUCAAAAUAAAUAAAUAAACUUAAAAAAAAUAAAAUAAAAUGAAGGAAAAGGACACAGACAAGGAAGGCGGGUAUCUUCUAAAAGCUGGAGAAGGCAAGGAAAUGGAUUCUCUGGAGCCUUCAGAAGGGAAUACAGCUCAGCAGACCCCAUGUUUUUAGCCCGGUGGGAUUUUUGACCUACGGAACCAUAAGAUAAUAAAUUUGUGUUAUCUUAAGCCAAUAAAUUUGUGGUAACUUGUUAUAGCAGCAACAGAAAACUAAUGUGCGCUUGAGGUGGUGUAUUAGAUUGCCAGGGAUGCCAUAGCCAAAUGGCACAGACUGGAUGGCUUAAAACAACAGAAAUUUAUUUUCUCAUAGCCCUAGAGGCUAGGAGUCCAAGAUCAGGUGCCCACAAAGUUAGUUUCUCCAGAUGCCUCUCUCCUUCUCAUGCGGAUGGCCAUCUUCUUGUUAUCUCUUCACGUGUUCCUUUCUCUGUGUGCCCAUCUUUUUGUCUCUUCCUUUUAUAAGGAUACCAGCCAGAUUGGAUUAGAGUCCCACCCUAAUGGCCUCCUUUUAACUUAAUCACUCCAUUAAAGGCCUUAUUUCCAAGUAAAUUCCAAUUCCGAGGGAUUGGGAACUAGGCUUCGGCAGUAUGAAUUUGCAAGAGACACAAUUCCACCCAUAAUGUGUGGGCAAUCUCACUCACUUUCCAAAGUCACCCAGUGAAUUAGAACCAUGAUUAUCAUAAUUUUAUAGGUAAGGAAACAGGCACAGAAAGGUUAAGUUACUCACCCAAAUUUACACAGCAAGUAAGUGGCAAGGCCAGUCUGGGAAUUGACUUUAUAUACUUCACCCAUUUUUCUAUGAGGUGAUUUUUCUUUUUGGUUUGCAGGUGCACAGGUGUUCAGUAAGCAUUGAUUGAUUGAAGGAAUGAGUGGGAGCAGUUCCCAGGACUCCUAGAAGAACAUGGGCCAGGUUGGGCCAAGCUUGGGUUUCCCUUCCUACCUCUCCAGGUUAGCAAUACUUACCUCCAGGAGAAAACCAAAAGACAAGCAGGAGGUUUCUUGGAUAAAUACUUGGGAAUGGCAUCAGUGAAUCAUAAGUUUCUCCGUCCUGAAACACCCUAAUAAAGUCCUUACAUGUAAUGCAUCACUCUUGAGCAAUCUGAAGGACAUCACGGUGGAUCCCAAGCAACAUGUUGAUAUCCUCACGGAGCCAAGCUCGAGGGUGAGCCCUGUUCCCCACACAGGAGUGAUCGUCUGGCAGCAGAGGCUCAGGGUGAGGACACCAUCUUGCCCUGGUUGCAAAGGACAUUGAGGUGAGGCUGCCUCAGCCUUCACUGUCCUGGCCUUCCUUUCCACGCCAUCCGUGCCCUGACUCCACCCAUAUUAGAGGGAGAGGGAGGAAGAAAGAGAGUCUCAAGCAGGCUCCAUUCUGUCAGCACGGAAACCGAUGCGGGGCUCCGUCCCACAAACUGUGAGAUCAUGACCUGAGCCGAAAUCAAGAAUUGGAUGCUUAACCGACUGAGCCACCCAGGCGCCCCUGAAUUAGUGAUUCUUGAAAAGGUUGAAACUGUUGGCAUGGAGGCAUCCAUGGCUGCCUACAUCCAUCAAUGUCACUGUCAAACAGAAGGUUCAGCCGUGUGUAUCAUGGGUACCACAUUGCAUUGCAAGGUCCGUCUUUGUUCUUCUCUCAUGGACAAGGACUCCUGUGACAGAGGGAAAGCUGGGCUGGGGCUAAAGGGCCACGCUGGCGCUGCUCUGGGCGUCCUCCACUGUGAGCACUGCUCGCUGUUCACUUGGGUGCCAGGCCCUGAGCUGUGCACUUUAUGUUCGUCAUUGCAUUUAAUCUUACACCAGCCUUACGAAAUAGAUCUUCUGAGUACCUUUUGCAGAACGACCACCUGCAGCCCAGUCCCAGGCCUCAUGGUCUGAGGCCUCCAGCCCAGGGUGAACCAUACUGGAUCCGACAUCCUGGGGAAGAGGCUGGCAGGGGCCUGGCCAGGCUGAAAUGGAAGAGACGGAAACAGUGCCGGGACCCCUCCUCCCUCAUAGGAUUCCCAGGUCCCUGGAGGGAGAGGGCUCUGUCUGCUCAGGGGCUGGGCUGGGUGGAUGGGGGGUGGAAGAGGAGGUGGGCCAGGCUGGAUCUAGGCCAGGAAGGGGCUCAGCCAGGGCUCUGUUGGGUACUCUCCCAGCUCACCCCCCACCUGCCGCCUCUGCUUUCCCAAGACUGGCCUUGCAGGGCUGCUGGGCCCUCUGGAGAUGCGAAGGCCAAGCACAACUGACUGGCGCCCUCUAGUGUCCUCCUGGCAACGCCCGGGUGGCUCUCUGGGGAACAGGUGCAUCACACACAGCUCCCCGGCGCCAGGCCAGGGAGAGUCCCCCAAACCCAUCAUUUAUCUCCUCAUCAGGUCACUUCUGAGAGUGAGAGGUGGCUCUGUUGAUGGUGAUACUGGGACAACAGACAUAUAACAGGACUGUCCGGGGCAAGUCAGGGCAUCUGGUCACCCCACCCAGGUUGGAUUUGCCCCCUCCCCACAGAAGCCACCAGAAUCAUCUGCGGGAGCUACCCCACUAAGUAAAUGAGAAUGCGUGUGAAGUCCUUAGCACGAGGCCCGGGAGAGUAGGCAAUCAACGAACAUGUGAUCAAUAAAUAACUAUUAGCUACACUUGGCGGUAUUAACCGUCUGUUUGGUGGACCUCCGGCGCCCAUUUCCAGAGCGGCAGGCAGGGAAAGCUGCGUCCCAAGCUCCAUCUGAAGCCAGAAGGUAGAAUCUAAGUUCUAGGGUCUGGCACACAGCAGGAGGGGAGGCCACGGGGCCCAGCCCAUAUUGACUGAUGGAGCGAACCCAAAAUAUAGCCUGUGAUUGAUCAAGACAUCGUCUUCUUGCUAUUUCGAGUCUUACUGGGGAGUCUGGAAGGAAAACCGUCCCUCCAGCAAGAGAAGGACAUUUUGACCCAGUGCGUCUUCCCACCGGUUUUGCAGAUGGGCCCUCCCUCUUCCCACCUGUCCUGCUUGCACCAGCUUUAGAGAUGACUUCGGCUCGGCUGCAUGCCCUCGGUGACUAACACAGGCAGGUGUGUGGGCUCCCAUUUGUUCCGGCCUCUACCCCACCUCCCAUUUCCUCAUCGCUGCCUGGUGGCUUCUGGGGGAAAGUCCUCAGGGACGUGUGAUGGCCUCUGACUGCCCCCCCCUCCCCGGGGCUCCCUGCUGUGGGCUGGUGCAAGGUGACUGCUUCUGUGACCCCUGUGCCAGGUCGGGCCCAGCCCGGGGGCUUGAGUUUUACCCACGGGGGUUGGGGGGAUUGGGGGGUUGGGUUGACAGCUGCGGAGGGGAAGUAGUCACACAUAUGCAUUAACGGUGUGGAAGGCUCCAGUGGUAGGAGCCAGGGCAGAGGGCCUGCCGCAGGCUUUGGCAUACAGGAGAGGGCAGGCACUUUAGGCCCAGAAAGCAGAGAAGAUUCUGCAGGAUGAGGCCAGACGGCUUCCACAGGUGGAGGUGGGUGAGGGCAGGACAGGGCUGUGCUUGGGGGCCCCCACGGGGAGCAGUCUGGGCGGCUGUGUGUGUAGGUAUGACUCGGGGUGACACGAGAGUGACUUUGGCAAAGUCAGAUUUGGAGGUGGGUAACUGUCAUUUUGAAGAGUUCUCCUUGGCAUAGGGGUGAGGGGCAGGUACGUGCAUCGUGCGGGAAAGGGAAGAAGCUUUGAGUUGGCUUUUGUGUGCCUCAAACCAGUUUGCCCACAUCCUUGGCUUCUGUGCCCUGUGAAGGACCUUUCUGGAGCCGUGCGUGUCUGGGCCUGAGGGGCAGUGGAGCCUACGUGAGGCUAGCAGUCUCUCUAGCAGCUCCCUGCAUGGGGUCAUCGGCCUCUGUUGGAGGGGGGUCUCUGCCCCGCCCCCCUGCUGCUCACUUAGCCUCCACCCCAGCCAGCACACCGUGGGCUCAGCCCCAUGAACUCUCCAGGGCUCAUAGCACUUUUCUCUGUUCCUCUUUUUCUCUCUUCAGGGCCUGGCUGUAACACCAGGUUUCCUUCUCCUGCUCACACUCAGGGCUUUGCGUGGCCAGCAACACACCCAAGCACUGGGUCCGGGACAAAAGAAAGCCUGGGUCCAAGAUCAGGCUCUGCCAUUUACCAGCUAUGUGGUCAAAUUCCUUGAGCCUCAGUUAGCUCAUCCGUAAAUUGGGGAUAAUAACACUUAAUGGGACUAAUCUCGUGGGGUUGUCAUGAGGGCACAUGAGAUGAUGCAGGUGCAAACACUUUGCAGAGGGCUCCGCCAAUGGGAGGGACGAUCAUUGCUAUUUUCAUCCCACACAUGACCCAGACAAUACUCGCCCGGGAAGGGAAACACCUGCACUGUGUGUGCUUCACUCACCCACUAUGGAGGCUACUGUGUGCCAGGCACUGUUCUCGGCACAUGGCAUAGACAAACACAAGAUCCUUGCUGUUUUGGGGUUUAUGUUCUAGGGGACUCCUAGAAUGUACUUCUAGGGACUCCCCCGAGCCCCAAUUCAUCCGGCAACCCUUUUUUAAAAAACUAUUCAUAUUUGAAAGAGAGUGCGCAAGCACAAGCAGGGGAGCAGCAGAAAGAGGUGGGGGGAGAGAGAGAGAAUCUCAAGCAGGCCUCGUGCUGUCAGCACAGAGCCCAACACGGGCUCAAUCCCACAACCGUGAAAUCACGACCUGAGCCAAAAUAGAGAGUCAGAUGCUUAACUGAGCCACCCAGGCGCCCCCACCCAGCACACGUUUGGACCUCUCCACCCACACACCUAGCCCGGGGAGGUCAGGCAACAUUGGGUCGCUAGGAAUUCUCUCCCUAAAUACCUCGCAGUCACCCCGUGGCCUGGCAGAAGCCCUCAAGUGGAAUAACAAGGUCAUUCUGACGCUUGCUGGAAUGCUCAGAGCGCUGCAGCAAGAAGAGAUGAUGAUCAUUAAGUCUAAUUGCCCAUUUUACAGAUGACUGGGGUCUGGAGAAGUUUAACUGCCUUGCCCCAGGUUAUGCAGCUGGUCACUGACACAAUUAUUCAGUCCGUCAACAAGUCUUUUUGAGCUCUUACUCUGUGCCACCCACUGUCUGAGCACUAGGGACAGUGCCUGCCUUGGUGGGGCUUAUAUUCUGUCAUGGGGCAAUAUAAAAGAAAUGUGUAAGCGAGUAGCUAAUUUCAGGUAGUGAUGAGGGCUGGGCCCAAAACCAGAUGGGAUGGGCAGAGGCUGGGGGUCAGGGUGGUCAAGGAAGACCUCACGAGGAGGUGACAUUUAAGCUGGAAUAGAACAGAGGACUUGAAGCGACUCUAGAGAGCUUCUUCCUACACUUCGCGAAAAAGGUGAAGGAGUGGCUGUUGUCCCUGCCCAUGGGGAAAAGGCACCAGGAGAGAGAGAGGGGCUGUGAGGGCUCCUGGGGGACAGCAGGGCUUUCUGAGCUGGAACUGAGUGACUGACUGCUGUGAGGAUCAAAGUGGCCCUCCUUGUGACACAGCACAGAGUUUGGUUUUUGUAGACUUUAUAUUUUAGAGCGGUUUCAGGUUCACAACAAAACUGAACAGCUAGUACAGAGAGUUCCCAUAUCCCCCCCCUCCCCACCCCAACCCCCAGCCUCUAGCACCACCAACACCCGCCUCUAGAGGGGAGCAUCGGUUCCAGUCUGUGAGCCUACACUGACACAUCGCAAUCACCCCGAGUCCAUUGUUUUCAUUAAGGAUCACUCCCAGUGUUGCACAUUCCCUGGGUUUUGACAAAUGUAUGACAGCAUGUAUUCACCAUUAUAGUACCCUACCAAGUGGUCUCACUGCUCCAGAAAUGCCCUGUGCUCAGCCUACUCAUUCUUCUCUCCCUCCCUGUCCCCACAACCCCUGGCUACAACUGAUCUUUUUAUUGUCUCCAGUUUUACCUUUUCCAGAAUGUUCUAUCUUUGGAAUCGCACAGUAUGUAGCCUCUUCAGAUUGGCUGCCUUCACUUAGCAAUUUGCAUUUAAGUUUCCUGUGUCUUUUUAAGCUUGAUCGCUCAUUUCUUUUUUAGCGCUGAAUUAAAUUCCAUUGUCUGGAUGUAGGGGCUGCUUUUGUUUUUUAUUUUUGCUUUUUAUCUAGCUUCUCCAGAAGCAAUUUCAGCCUGCAAGCCCUUUCCUUCCCCAGUGAUGGCAUAGAGCAGGGAUCCCUGUGUGGACCUUGUGGCCUCUCUGGGCCCCAAGGCUGCACCACCCCCGGUGCCCAACAGGUGGCCACACCACCCUGUUCUGGCAUUUAGUGGGCAGUGGCUACGCAGGAUGGAAGGUUCUUGGGAGAUUGUGUGAGGGAACAGGGGAAAAACUGUGACUGUUCCCCACGGGCCACCUUUCUCUCACUCCCUGGCCCAGGCAAUUUGAGCAGCUGGGCUACAUUUCUGAGUUUGGGGAAGGAAGAGGAACUGGAAUAUUUUGCCAUUUCUAUUCUUCAAGGAAAGGGAAGUUCUAGUGCCUGGCCCUUGCACAGUACUGUCUUCUAGAAGACUAGAAACUUCUAGGAAGUCUGGUCCUCACAAUGGGAUCUAAUCCCAAGUAGGUAAUUCUCUGUGCAAAUAGCCCUGCUUGCAUGGGGGGUGGGGGUAAGAGGAGCUUCCCUGAGGUAAGGAGAUAGUAUGCUGGUAUGUUUCGAUCUUAGGACUGGCAGCCUAAAGAAAAAUAUUUCUGAUGAAGGAGGCUGCAGUCUUUUGUCAGCAAGACUGAACCAUGGCAACAAUGAAAAAAUACCAAAAUGUGGUAAAAAUAUAUGAUGAAUAUCAUUCAGGCUUAAAAAGGAGUGAAAUUCUGAUAAAUGCCACAAAACAUUUUGCCAAGUGAAUUAAGCCAGACACAAGAGGACAAAUAUUGUAUUUGUACUCUUACGAGGUACCCAGAAUAGUUACAUUCAUAGAGACAGAAAGUAGAAUGAUAGUUUUCAGGAGAACAGAGAGUUAUUGUUUAAUGGGUACAGAGUUUUAGUUUGGGAUGACAAAAAAAAUUCUGAAAACAGUGGUGAUGGUUGCACAACAUUGUGAAUGCACUUAAUGUCACUGAACUGUACAUUUAAAAAUGAUUACUGGGGCGCCUGGGUGGCUCAGUCGGUUAAGCAUCCGACUUCGGCUCAGGUCAUGAUCUCGUGGUCCGUGAGUUCGAGCCCCGUGUCAGACUCUGUGCUGACAGCUCAGAGCCUGGAACCUGCUUCAGAUUCUGUGUCUCCCUCUCUUUCUGGCCCUCCCCCGUUCAUGCUGUCUCUCCCUGUCUCAAAAAUAAAUAAAUGUUAAAAAAAAUUUUUUUUAAUGAUCACAAUGUUAAAUUUUAUGUUACACAGAUCUUCCUCCAUUCGCAAUCAGAUUAUGUUCUGACAGACUCACCAUAAAUUAAAAAUGUCGUAAGGUGGGGCACCUGGGUGGCUCAGUCGGUUGAGCGUCUCUUGAUUUCUGCUCAGGUCAUGAUCCUAGGGUCAUGGGAUCAAGCCCCAUGUCAGACUCUGCACUGAGCAUGGAGCCUGCUUAAGAUUCUCUCUUUCUCUCCCUCUGCCCCUCUCCCCUGCUUGUGGACGCUCUCUCAAGCACAUGCUUGAAAAAAUAAAAUUAAAAAAUUAAAGAAAAUAUCGUAAGUUGAAAAUGCUGAAUAUCAUAGCUUAGCCUAGCUGAGCUUGAAUGUGCUGAGAACACUUAUGUGAGCCUACAGUUGGGCAAAAUCAUCGAACACAGAAACGAUUUCGUAACAGUGUUGAAUAUCUUAUGUAAUUUAUUGAAUGCUAUACUGAAGGUCAAAAACAGAACAGGUGUAUGGUUACAGAGGACUGUAAGUGUGUUGACUGUUCAUCUCAUGAUCACGUGGCUGACUGGGAGCUGCAGCUUGAUGCCAGUGCUCAGGGUCAGAAGAGGGUAUGUGCAUAUCACUGGCCUGGGAAAAGACCAAUAUUCAAAACUCGAAGUACAAUGUCUACUGUGUAUCACUUUCACACCAUCAUAAAGUAAGAAAAUCAUAAACCGUCAUAAGUCUGGGACCAUCUGUAUAUAUUUUAUCAUAAAUACUUGUUUAUAAAACUGAUUGAACCAGGAUCAUGAAGUCCACAGAUUUUGUCUUGUUCUUUUACCAUUGUUCACACACACACACACACACACACACACACACACACACACCCCAAUCUGACAUGGAGUCCUGUGUCUUCCACCAAACACUUCAAGGCUGGAGAUCUCACUACCUUGAAAGAGCACUGACCCUCAAGUGGAAAGACCUGUGUUGGUGUCUAAUAACUGAGCCUUCACUUCCUCAUAUAUGAAAUGGGGAAGAUAAUACUUGCCCUAUCCUAGUUACAGAACUGUCACAGGAUCAAUGAGGUAGUAUAUGUGAAAGUACUUUGUAAACUCUAAAGCAAUCUAUAAGGAUAAGAGAUCAUUAGAUUAUCAUCCUGUUGACCUUAGAAGUAAAACAGCCAGGGGGCACCUGGGUGGCUCAGUCGGUUGAGUGUUGACUUCAGCUCAGGUCAUGAUCUCCCGGUCUGUGAGUUCAAGCCCUGCAUCUGGCUCUGUUCUGACUGCUCAGAGCCUAAAGCCUGCCCCAGAUUCUGUGUCUCCUUCUCUCUCUGCUUCUCCCCUGUUCAUGCUCUGUCUCUCUCAAAAUAAUAAAUAAACAUUAAAACAAACUAACGAAAAAAGGAAGUGAAACAGCCAGUCUUUCUCCCAGCAAAACGGGUUUAUUCAGGAAUCACAGAGGAAUUGGCAAUUCGGGACAAGCCAGCUACAGCAAAAGCCAUAGGCAAGUGGGGAGCACAAAGGAGAGGAACACUGCUAUACAGAGUAGAAGGGGGAAGUUGGGAGGGGCUGUUGUAAAUGAAAAGUCCAUUGGAGUAAAAUGGGAGUUGUAGUGGCUUUUCAUUGGCUGAGUUGUGAGUCUCUCAUUGGCUGGUUUGUUGCCAGGCAAGGAGAAAAAUCUUCCUUUCUCUUUCUGAGUCAGUAAAAUAGGCUUUUCCUGGUUGGGUUGCGAAUUCAAGAUACAACUCUCUCUGUUGGGUCUGAGAAGUGCUGUGAGUGGUACAGUGUGAGAGCUCCCCCUUCUGGCCUCCUGGCUCCACUUUAUUCAGUUUCACAAUCCUUACUGUCUAGGUCACUGGCUCCAGUUGGGGACGACUGUAAUUGUUGAGAAAUUUAGGCAGAAUUGUGAAGCAGAAAGGGUUGCUCUCGGUAUCACCUCAUCUCUUACAUAAUAUGUCUUAGAACGUCCCUUUCCUUUUAGCAAAUUUAUACUCCAUCCAACUCCUUGUAAGCGUGAGCAAUGCUAACCUCUUGCCUAUACCUAAUCCCUUGGAACUAUGUUAGGAGAAACUUUCCUAUGUGUCUCCUUUACUCAUACUACUAUCACACUUGCAACACUUCUGACACCAGAUGUGUGGGGUUUUCCCCACACCUAGCAAUUCUGAGACAUCAGCUGGGUGUCCUAACUUAAUUCAGACAUUGUCUACCUGGAGGUAGCAUCAGGUCCCACAGGUUAAGGGCUCAGUCCUACAAGACCGUCCCCCACCCCCUCACUUCAGAUUCCAGUUGAAAGUCCAGAUUGUCACCCAUGCUUCUAACUGAUCAGCUAUAAAUUGGAGGUUCCCACAACCCCCUUUUCAGGUUUGAGUAAUUUGCUAGAGUGGCCCACAAGAACUCAGGAAAACAGUUUAAUUAAUGCUUAUAUUUAUUUUAAAUGGAUAUGAUAGAGGUUACAGAUGAACAUCCAGAUGGAAGAGAUGUAUCGGGCAGGAUACAUGGGAAAGGAUGAGGAGCUUCCAUGCCCUCUCUGAGCACUCCACUCUCCCAGCACCCCCACAUGUUUACCAACCUGGAAGCUCUCCAAACCCCAUACAAUUGGGAUUUUAUGGAAGCUUCAUCAUGUAGGUGUAAUCAAGUUAUUAAGUCCAUUUCCAGCCUGUCCUCCCUCUCUGGAGAAUGGGGGCAUAGGGCUGAAAAUUCCAAGCUUCUCAUUAUGGCUUUGUCGUUCUGGUGACCGGCCCUCAUCCAGAAGCCCACCAAGAGUCACCUCAAUAGAACAAAAGAUACUGCUGUCAUCCAGGAAAUUCCAAGGGAUUUAAAAGCCCUGUGUCAGGAACUAGGGUCAAAGACCAUAUUAGAACAAAAGAUGCUUCUAGUGCUCUUAUCACUUAGGGAAUUACAAGGGUUUUAGCAGUUCUGUGCUAGGAACCAGGGACAGACUAAUAGAUACUUUUUUUAUUAUCUCACAGGAACCAAGGUGCCACCUCUUCCAGGAAACUGUUCCAGAUACUUCCUCCCUCUUCCCUCACCUGCACCAGAUACGGUUUGGGGAGCUGAGUUAUGAAAUGAAUAUCUAAGUGAAAUUAUAAAGAUCUAGGUUUGAAUUCUGCCACCAUUUACUAUGCACGUAACCUUGGCAAUCUCUUUACCUCUCUGGGCCUCAAUAUCUCUCUCUAAAUUAAUGACAACAAAUUAGUUAACAGGAUGGUCAUGAAGAUCAAAUGAUAUAACUUAGCCAACAGUGCUAGAAACGGGUGAUGCUCAAUAAAUACUUGUUUCCUCCUUUGAGCUCUCUUAGGCCUUUAUCUGAGCCUUCAGCCUUGUAUUCUAGGUAUUUGGGCCAUUCAUUUGUUCAACAAACAUUUAAAUAUGAAGACAAUAAGUGUUAUGCAGAAAACUAACAUAAGACACGGGAGGAAGAGAAUGUAUGUUGUAUCGUUGGUUUAUUUAGGAUGGUUAGGAUGGAUAAGGCAUCAUGUAGACAGAGAAGUGAAGGAAUGAGCCUGCUCUUACAUAUCAGAAAAGAGUAAUGGGGAGAGAAGUGAGUCCCGGAGGCAGGAGUAUGCUAAUGUGUUUGUGGAACAGCAAGGAAGCCAAGGUGGCCAGAUCAGAGUAAGCAAGGAGAGGGGGUGGGGGAAGAAGGGCAGAGAAGUGGCAGGGGUCAUACCACAUGGGGACUUUGUAGACUGUGACAAGAAUUCUGUUCUUUUCUGCGCGAGGUGGGAAGCCAACGGAGAGUGUUGACCAGCAGAGUGACUGUGUCAUGUGCCAUUUACUGUAUGGUAGCAAGGGUAAAUUAGGGAAGAUUGAUGAACAGACUAUUGCAGUAAUCCAGGUGAGAGAUAGCAGGGGCUUGGACCAGGAAGGUAAAUAGGGAUAAAAAAGAACGGUCAGAUUCUGAAUAUAUAUUGAUUGGAAAGUAGAGCCAAGAACACUUGUUGGGGUGUGAGAGGAAGAAGAGCUCAUGCCAAGGCUUUGUUUUUGUUUUUUUGCCUGGGAAACUGUGAAAAUGGAGUUUUAAUCACUGAGAUAAGUAAACCUACUGGAAAAGCAGGCUUGGGUGGAGCAGAGUGGGGAUGAGAGAUUUGAUUUUGUAUUUACCUAGCUGUUUACCAUUUCCUAUCCUCUUCCUUUGUUUCUAAUGAUCCAAAUUUCCCCUCUUACAUUAUUUGGCUUCAGCCUGAGAACUUUAACAUUUUUUGCACUAAGAUCUGCUAAUGGUGAAUUUUUUAAGUUUCCCUUUAUCUGGAAAUACCUUUAUUUUACCUUUGUUUUUAAAGGAUAGUUUUGCUGGAUAUAGAAUGCUGGUUUGAAAAGUUUUUACUUUCAGUUCUUUAGAGAUGUUGGCCCACUGGUUUCUGGCCUCAAUUAUUUUCUUUCUUUCAGUUUUAUUGAGGUAUAAUUGACAACAUUGAUAAGGUAUUUAAAGUGUACAACAUGUGAUUUUAUACAC